GAUGAACGCUGGCGGCGUGCCUAAUACAUGCAAGUCGAGCGGCAGCACGGUCUUCGGACUGGUGGCGAGCGGCGGACGGCUGAGUAACGCGUAGGAACAUGCCCUAAAGUGAGGAAUAACUGCCCGAAAGGGUGGCUAAUGCCGCAUGUGCUCUUCGGAGUAAAGCUUUAUGCGCUUUAGGAGUGGCCUGCGUCCGAUUAGCUAGUUGGUGAGGUAAAUGCUCACCAAGGCGACGAUCGGUAGCUGGUCUGAGAGGAUGAUCAGCCAGACUGGAACUGAGAACGGUCCAGACUCCUACGGGAGGCAGCAGUAGGGAAUUUUUCACAAUGGGCGAGAGCCUGAUGGAGCAACGCCGCGUGCAGGAUGAAUGCCUUCGGGUUGUAAACUGCUUUUAUGUGCGAAGAAUUUGACUGUAACACAUGAAUAAGGAUCGGCUAACUACGUGCCAGCAGCCGCCGCGG
rnacentral:rRNA from 1 species